AGGGAGGCAGCGAAUGAAUUGCACAUCGAGCGGGGAAGUGGCACUGCCUGUGGAGAUCUGCGGAUGCCGACCGGAUGCGUUGGCUGCCGUGCCUGCUGCUGUGCACUGGGUUAGAAAUGACAACUAAUGCCAAACAUGAAUGAUCCAAGUCGCAGUAGUACUAGCCCAAGUAUCAUCAAUGAAGAUGUGAUUAUUAAUGGUCAUUCUCAUGAAGAUGACAAUCCAUUUGCAGAGUGCAUGUGGAUGGAAAAUGAAGAGGAGUUCAACAGACAAAUAGAAGAGGAGUUAUGGGAAGAAGUAUUUAUUGAACGCUGUUUCCAAGAAAUUCUGGAAGAAGAAGAAGAGCAUGAGUGGUUUAUUCCAGCUCGAUAUCUCCCACAAACUAUGGACCAAAUCCAAGACCAAUUUAAUGACCUUGUUAUCAGUGAUGGCUCUUCUCUGGAAAAUCUUGUGAUCAAGAGCAAUCUGAAUCCAAAUUCAAAGGAGUUUGUUCCUGGGGUGAAGUACUAAAUAUUUCAGUAACGGGGUCCUCUUUUGGUGGAUGUAGCACAAUUUCCACACUGUGAAGGCAGUAUUAGAAGACUGAAUUGUAAAAGCUCUCUUAUCACUGUGUUACACUUAUGCAUUGUCAAACUUUUUGUUAGUCUUGCAUGCUUAAUAAAAGUGCUGAGACUGUUACGAAGUUAAAAGCUGUCAAACAUUUACUGAAAACAGAAAUGGUCCCAUGGCUUGAUGUGAAGACAGCGAGGAAAGAAGCACCAGUCAAGUUGUGUAUAAGCACCAAAUUAAAAGACUUCUAAAUCUUACUAAAUUGUCGUCUUUGCGGUUAAACUGGUCCCCUAGGGUUAAAUAACACUUGUAGAUGUCUAAACUUUUUAAAAUCAGUAAAUUUAAGCUGUUUUGUUAAGCAGAUUGCUCAGUUCACACUUAAAUUUGCAUUUGUCCCCAUCAGAAAGAAUCUGCUAUUUCUGAAGAAGGUCUGUUAAUAUGAGAU